GCCGAAGUGGCGGAACAGGCAGACGCGACGGUCUCAAAAACCGUUGGCCCGCGAGGGCCGUGCCGGUUCGAUCCCGGCCUUCGGCACCC
rnacentral:tRNA from 2 species